UGCAGCCUAGUCCCCCAUUGUUAUGUGCGCACCAACUUUGACCAACCAUAACUCGCUAAUCCGGUCACAUGACGGGCUGAGUUUGUAGAAGAAGGCAGCCAUGUUUGCAGGCUUCGUGUGGGAAGUGUUUCAUGGAAGUCCGCCUAAAAUAUCGCGGUGCUUGGACAGACGGCAGCGACGUAGCGUACAAUGGCGAGAUUACACGAAGCGGGAAGUGAAGGCCAAGUUCAGCCCGUGUUUGGUUACCUUUUCCAAGUUUUCCCGUGGAUGAAACCUCCUGAAACCUGAAAUCGAUCUGUUUGCACGUGUUUUGGUGGAGAGAAACCCUCGUCUACUUUUUUUCUACAACGCCGGAGAUUACAGCAAAACAGGCUCAGGAAUCUUGCCCGUGUGGUCUGGGCUGACCUUUAGCAGGUGUGCCUUCAGUGUAGCCUUCAGCCGUGCAACAGGGUCAGCGAUGGAACGUGUUGACUGGGAGAUGUGGUUGAACUGUGCGUGCACUUCUUCAAUCCCCUGCUCUGCCAGAAAACCAAGGCCGAAGCCCCAGUGGCGGAUACACGGGACCACAUGAUCUUCCAGUCCGAGACCAUGGAUGCUGCCUCAGCAAAGACGACUUCGGCCAUCUCAUCGUCGACUUGCAUUUGGUAGGCCAGGAAAGCCAGCUGGUCCUCCUGUUCUUCGAUGGUUUGGUCCAGUUCAUCGGCCUCCAACCGGUACUUCUGGGCACCGUCGAUGGCGUCCACGUAUCGCUGGAAUGGCCCCAGCUCCUGGUCCGCCAUGAUUUCCUCGCGGUUGUCAGGCUCGCUCAGGACCAGCAUUCGUAGCGAAGCAAGUGCAUCAGUCUAAGUUGGAAACAGACCGUUCCAGCCCGCUCUGAGCACAUACAAGGCGAGACGAAGGACCCUUUUAGCAAUCAUGUCAACUGGAUAUUGAAUGAAGUCGUGGACGGCAGCCACCAGCGAGGAGAGGAAGGCACAAGGCCUAGGUUCGACUCUCUUUGUUCCAUCGUCAUCCUUCGUUGUAAACGGUGGCCGUCUGGGAUCCGGAUUUGGGCGAACCCGCCUUCCUGCAGAACCUGGAGGAGCCGGUCCCUGGACAGCCGUUUCAGCUCCGCAGCCAUCUGCUCCUCCCCCGAGCCACCACUGAUCUUCUCUCUAAAAUCGCUCACCCUCUGAGCUCGCUUCUGCAGUGUGGAUGGUGCCGCUUCACUGGAUUUUUUCUGGGACACUGGCACUUGUACAAAGUGCAGUGGCUGUACAAUAAGAGAAAGGACAUUGCUUACUUGGAAGUUCCUUGUACAUGUAAUUUUUUAUAUGUACAUUUCUCAUGUAAAGAAAUAAUAUU